CACGUAGGAGGCGAGCGUUGUCCGGAAUCAUUGGGCGUAAAGAGCGCGCAGGCGGCUUGGCAAGUCGGGUGUGAAAUCCCGGGGCUCAACCCCAGUCCUGCUUCCGAUACGGGUGGACUAGAGGUAUGCAGGGGAGAACGGAAUUCCUGGUGUAGCGGUGAAAUGCGCAGAUAUCAGGAGGAACACCGGUGGCGAAGGCGGUUCUCUGGGCAUUACCUGACGCUGAGGAGCGAAAGCGUGGGGAGCAAACAGG
rnacentral:rRNA from 1 species